rnacentral:lncRNA from 1 species
UGGACUCGAUUUCCAAAAGCUCCGGAUCUAACCAUAAUCAGAUUACUACUAUCAACAUAGCCUAAAGAAUUGAAUUCCACAAUAAAAAAAUAUAAAAUAUAAAAAAAAUCCGAAAUCGGCCAAAACCCGACCCCUAGGCCCAUAUCUCAAAAUCAGUCAAAAAUGGUAUAAUCAUAAAACUCGUUCUCUCCCGAGUCUAAUCAUAUAAAAUUUAUCAAAAUCGGACUUCGUUUGGUCCCUCAAAUCCUCACUUAAAACCCUCCAAAACUCAAACCCUAACUCGCUCAAUUUUACUUUGAAAUCAUCAAUUAAAUCCCAAAAACGAUAAUGGAUUCUUCAAAUAUAACAAAAAUGGAGUAGAGAAUACUUACCCCAAUUCAUAUGGUGAAAAUCGCCUAAAUCCGUGCUCCCCAUCUGAAAAUAUGACCGAAUGAACAACCCUAGUUUUUUUAUAUUUUUCUGCCAGUUAUUCUGCCUCGUUUCUCAUGUCAAACAAUCUCAAAACUCGUCUUUUAUGCCUCUAAUGGAUUUCUUGUGAACUUCUACUCAAG